rnacentral:rRNA from 1 species
CGCGUAGGUGGUUUGUUAAGUUGGAUGUGAAAGCCCCGGGCUCAACCUGGGAACUGCAUCCAAAACUGGCAAGCUAGAGUAUGGUAGAGGGUGGUGGAAUUUCCUGUGUAGCGGUGAAAUGCGUAGAUAUAGGAAGGAACACCAGUGGCGAAGGCGACCACCUGGACUGAUACUGACACUGAGGAGCGAAAGCGUGGGGAGCGAACA